rnacentral:misc_RNA from 1 species
AAAAAAAAAAAAAAAAAAAAAAGGAAGAAGAAGAAGCAAGCUGCAUUACUUUCUCUGCUUGCAUGUCCCCUAGCUUGCAUCACUAACAAAAACCUAUCUAGCCCUAGCUGUGGCUAAAUUCUCCAUAUAUAUAUAUAUGCUUCUGAGUCUGCUCAAAAACAUAGACUAGCAAGCAAUUAAGCAAAUUGCUGUUUAAUUAAUUAGAUGAAAGAUGCAGCUACCAUAAUAAUAAUGGCACAUGUAAUUAACCUGAAGUUAAUUUGAUUAUUAAUUUGUGCAGCGGCAGCAGCGGCUGGCGUUGUGGGGGUUGAAGGUACUGCUCCAUAAACUGUUGCCCCGUUUGAAUUUGUGGUGUUCAACACUGACGAGCUUGUGCUGUAGUUUUAUUUCAUCAAACGUAAAUAAUUAAUUAACAAUCCUUUGAGAUUUGUAGAUCAACCGAUCAUAAUUUCAUACAGAUAAAGUAAUUAAUUUUACCUAGUCGAUGGAUACUGACACGUCCCACUGCCUGAAAAAUAUUUUUGAAAAUGGAUUAGUAAAAUUUAAAUUAAUUAAUUAUAAAAAAUGAUGCAGGACUCACUUGGAUCAGAGCUGGUAGUAACCGCAGUUCCUCCAAAAUUGCAGCUGCUUGGAAUCGGAUUCUUCUGAUAAUAGCUAUUGAAUGCAAAGGAAGCAUGAUCAUGAAGACUAUUGGGAUUGUAACAACUUCCACCACCUUGAAUCGCCGAACAAUCUGCACCACCAUAACCACAAGCGUAGUCCAGUGCUACUUGUAACGCCGUUGGUGAUGCACUUGGGCUGGCUAUACACCAGCUAGCUCCAGAAGAUACUGGUGAUGAUGUUGUGGUUGGAGUUAUCACCGGCGUCAUGGUAACCGGCGAUGUAGAAUCGGGGUCUGAAUUCGGGUUUACGAUGGGAGUUGAUGAAGUAGGAGGGGUCGGAAUGAUCGUCGGAACAGUAGUCAUCGGAGUAGUAAUAUCCUUUUGGCUUUUGGAAAUAUAAGUGAGAUGAUGUCGUUUUGCUCCAUCUUCUAGCUUGCUUGAAUGACCAACUGCUGUAAUUCUUGGACCUGAAGAGUACAGACCAAAUAGGAAGAAUACCAAAUAAUAGAUAACUCUUCCACUGCCACCCAUGUGCACAUAUAAGCCUCCAACCCUCUUCUUCUUCUUCUUCUUUCUUUCUUUCUUUCUUGAAAUUCUUGAAUCAAAUUCUUUCUUCUUCUGUUACUUUCCGGUUCUUUCUUCUAUUCCCCUCUUUCAUUUCUCAUUUCCAGCAUUUGAAGAAACUUGUUUCUUGCAAUUCUUGGAAUUUUUGUUCUUCCUCCACUUUUUUGCCUAUUUCCUUCUUUCUUUGGAACCAGAUCUUUUCCAAAUUCUAGAAAUAUCAAGAAAGUUACUCAAGUUUUCUCUCAAUUUCUCUUUCUUUCUUUAUGUAACUGUCAAGAACAGAUUCUCUUCUUCUCCAUUUUCUAUUUCUCUUCUUUUCUUCGGCUGUAACUUUGAUUUUUGGGUUCACAGUUAACAGUAAUAUUGUAGAGCUUGUUACAAGUGGGAAUGAAUCAAUUUUCAAUUCUUUUGGGGGUUGGAAUUAUGGCCAGAUCAAUGGUGGUUAACCAAGAGAUGGUUAGGACAACAGAGCUGGAAGAAUGGAUAAAGAUUUUCCAAGAAAAUGUGCAGAGGCGUGUCAAGGAAUUCAAGAAGGAAUUCGGGGAAUAGAUACAGGUAUUUAGGGAGUCAUUAAGGGAGUCCUUUCAAGCUUUAAGAACCAGCACCCAUAUAUUUGAGGAUUCUUGUAGUAGUGGCAGUGAAUUGGACUUAACAACUCAAGAGGAAAAGAUAGAGGAUUUCGAUGCUAAUGAGACUAUCCCUCUCGAUGACACAAUAAUUUUGCACGAUGGUGGAGAUAAGAAAUUGAUGGAAGAAAGAUUAAGAGAUGAAAAUCUUGUGUGCAAAACAUCCAACGCUGAUGGAGAUGAAGAAGCUACUAUUCUACUAAAUACAACAUUAUCUGCAUCAGUUGACAAGGAGAAAGCACAAGAAGGGUUGUCAAAGCUCUCUAGUGGGAUUAUUGUUCUUAAGGUUUAGGGGGCUAGUGAAGCAGAAAAUUUUCUUUUGGAGUAUUUUGAUAAGGAGCAAUUUAGUCAAAAGCAAAGCUUUGCAACAUACCCUCAGCUGAAAUGGAAGGAGGGUGGAUUUUAUUCCUGUGAUUUCUUAGUUUCCAUGGAGGAUGAAUGGGAAAUAUUAAGAAGCAAAGAAAGAAAUCCAUCUUAUAUGAUCCAGAGGGGGGAAAAAAUUCACUCCAACAUUUUUUAUUCUCUCUUUCUGGUUAUUUUCUGCUGCAAUAAAUGGUCGUUGUUUGGAUAUGGAGGCAAUAGUUUUACAGUCAAAAUAGCAAGGAA